rnacentral:rRNA from 1 species
AGUGAACGCUGGCGGUAGGCCUAACACAUGCAAGUCGAACGGCAGCACAGUAAGAGCUUGCUCUUACGGGUGGCGAGUGGCGGACGGGUGAGGAAUACAUCGGAAUCUACUUUUUCGUGGGGGAUAAUGUAGGGAAACUUACGCUAAUACCGCAUACGACCUACGGGUGAAAGCAGGGGAUCUUCGGACUUUGCGCGAUUGAAUGAGCCGAUGUCGGAUUAGCUAGUUGGCGGGGUAAAGGCCCACCAAGGCGACGAUCCGUAGCUGGUCUGAGAGGAUGAUCAGCCACACUGGAACUGAGACACGGUCCAGACUCCUACGGGAGGCAGCAGUCGGGAAUAUUGGACAAUGGGCGCAAGCCUGAUCCAGCCAUACCGCGUGGGUGAAGAAGGCCUUCUGGUUGUAAAGCCCUUUUGUUGGGAAAGAAAAGCAGCAGGUUAAUACCCCGCUGUUCUGACGGUACCCAAAGAAUAAGCACCGGCUAACUUCGUG